rnacentral:rRNA from 1 species
UACGUAGGGCGCGAGCGUUGUCCGGAAUUAUUGGGCGUAAAGAGCUCGUAGGCGGCUUGUCACGUCGGGUGUGAAAGACCGGGGCUUAACUCCGGUUCUGCAUUCGAUACGGGCUAGCUAGAGUGUGGUAGGGGAGAUCGGGAUUCCUGGUGUAGCGGUGAAAUGCGCAGAUAUCAGGAGGAACACCGGUGGCGAAGGCGGAUCUCUGGGCCAUUACUGACGCUGAGGAGCGAAAGCGUGGGGAGCGAACAGG